GAUAUUGAGCCAGACCCUGGUAAGAGAAUACCUAUUGGAAAUUUGGAUCCCAACAUUAGAGAUCUUGCUAGAAGGGAGUACAUUAGUAUGGGCCCUUGCCGACCAACUAAUCAUAAAUAUGAACGGAAAUGGGUAGGAAAAGGGUUUAGAAGCUUUCAUGAUUCUUGGUACAAAAAUCAUAGUGGCUGGUUGGAAUGUAGCGUUGAUAAAAAUGCAGCCUUUUGUUGCUUUCUACUUAAGCAACCAAGAGCUGACAACUAUGGUGUUCAAGCAUUCACUAAGAACGGAUUUAAGAAUUGGAAGGAUGGACCUAAAAUUCUUUGUGAACAUGUUGGUAAACAUGAUAGUGCUCAUAAUAAGGCUAGACAACACCAUUAGGCUUCCAAAAAUCAGAGGCAAGGUGUUAUCAAAUUUUUGCUGCUACAAGGUCUUGCUUCUCGUGGACAUGAUGAGUCUACUAGCUCAAAGAAUAAGGGUAACGUUAAGGAGUUGUUGGUCUGGCUCAUGGAGAAGGACCGAGAUGCACGAAAAUUGAUUGGGGAUGCAGGAGUGAACUAUAAGCUAACUUCACCUGAGAUACAAUUGGACAUGUGCAAUGCUUGUGCAGAAGAGACCACCAAAACCAUUGUUGAUGAAAUUGGAGAUAGUAAAUUUUCCUUACUUGUUGAUGAGUCCAGAGAUGCAUCUAUCAAGGAGCAAAUGGCUAUGUGUUUGAGGCAUCUUAGCAGCCGAGGGGAGGUGAUUGAGAGGUUUAUUGCAAUCAAGCAUGUUCCUGACACGCGGGCAACUUCACUCAAGGUAGUUUUGGAUGGUAUAUUUGCUACUCAGGGCUUGUCUAUGUCUAAUUUGAGAGGGCAAGGUUAUGAUGGGGCUUCAAAUAUGAGAGGGGAAUUUCGUGGUUUGCAAAUAUUGAUCUUGGAGGAAAAUCCGUAUGCUCAUUAUAUACACUGCUUUGCCCAUCAAUUGCAAUUAGUUGUUGUUGCUCUUGCAAAGUGUUGUUCAUCAGUAAGAGAUUUUUUUUACACUAGCAUGGUUGUAAACAUUGUUAAUGCUUCAUGUAAAAGACAUGACCAGUUAUCCCAAGAGCAACAUGAUGAAUUUGUGCACCAAGUGGAAGCCGGGGAACUUCCUGGGGGGAAAGGAAAAAACCAAUUAACUAACCUUGCAAGACCCGAUGUUGCACAAAGAACCUUUGCUAGUGGGUUGAUAAAGCACAUGGAAACAUUUGAAUUUGUUCUCAUAUUGCAUCUUAUGAUUAGAUUAUUGGGCAAGACUAAUGAUCUAUAGCAGUGCUUGCAACAGAAAAAACUGCAUAUUCUUCGUGCCGUGGGAUUGAUUAAAACCACAAUGGAAAAAAUGCAAGAGAUAAGGCAGAAUGAUUAGGAUGAGCUCUUCCAAGAGGUAACUAACUUCUGUCUCAAGUACAAUAUUGUAGUGCCAAAUAUGGAAGAUACAAGAACUGUUAAUGGUCGUUCAAGAACUUGGGGUGGCCAAUUGGUAACUUACCACCAUCAUUUCAGAAAUGAAAUAUUCAAUGUGGUGCAUGAUCAAAUUAUUGUGGAAUUAAACAACCGCUUUACUGAAAGAUCUACUUAAUUGUUAAGAUGCAUUGCUUGUCUUGAUCCGAAGAAUUCUUUUGCCAAUUAUGAUGAAGACAAGCUUGUUGACCUUGCUAGUAUGUAUGAUGCUGACUUCUUUGCAUAUGAAGUUAGUUUUGUCCUUAGAAAUCAAUUGGACUCGUUCAUUCAUGAAGCAAGAGUUGAUCCACAUUUGAUGAAUUGUAAUGACCUUGGUCAUCUUGCCAUGAAGAUGGUUUUGAGUAAUAUGCACACAACAUUUCUGUUGGUUUACUGCCUUGUUGAGUUAGUAUUAAUAUUACCUGUUGCAACCGCAACAAUGGAAAGGGCCUUCUCGGCAAUGAGCAUUAUCAAGACUGACUUGAGGAACAGGAUGGGUGAUGAUUGGUUGAAUCACAGAAUGGUAUGUUACAUUGAGCGGGAUGUAUUUGUUAGUAUUGAAGUGUCAAAGAUCAUUGAGCGAUUUUAGGGUUAUCACGCACGCAAAGGCAUUUUACCUCGUCCUAGAGUUAAUGUUUCAUAUUUUGUAUCCAGUAGCAAUUUUUUACUUGCUUUUUAUGCACCGACUUGA
rnacentral:rRNA from 1 species